GGCAUACGAAGCUCCAGCAUGCGAAAAUGCAAAUGCAGGUGAGGUAUUUGUAAAUUUUGUUCACUCUGUCCUCUUACCUUCUCAAGUUGGCCAGGUUUCUUCAUUACGGUUCCCUUUCACUCAGGGACAAGCUCAGCAAGGUUAUGACAUAGCAGCACGUUUCGAAUUCACUUCAAAAUGCAGAUCAUAAGGAGCGAGACAAUAAAAUGCACAAGCAUGCUUCUCUGUGGCUUACUGCUAAUCUACUGCCAGAUCACACAUGUUGGGGCUCAAGACACAUAUGUGGCAGAGGUGAUGAUCGAAGGGAACGCAACCAUGGAUGUAUCUGGAUUCAUAUCUGAAAUGAUCAUGGACAUCACAACCACCACGUCCAUCGUGGACGCUGAAAUAAUCGGCGAAUGUGAGCUCGUUGGUGAUGAGACAACAUGCUGGUGUGAGCCUAAUUACAUUUGGAGUGACCUAGUGUGCGACACUUUCACUACCUGCUGCAACACUAUACAGUGUGUGGCGAAUGUCUCCGAUUUCACGCCGAUGUGUGUUCCCCAAGUGAACGUUACUCUUUAUGGAGUCCUCACCAUGUCCUCCGUAACCACCCUUCACACGCAGCUGGAAGCUGAGUUCAAGCUGCUGAAUGGGUUCAACACGUUCACCAGUCUAAUAAUUACUGGCGGUCAGACUUUCACUGUGAGUCUCAAUGCCACGUGUAAAUCUGCGAAGCUUCAAAACAUAAUCUCAUACAUGAUAACGACCUACACGUACAUUACAAAUUUCAACAUUACAACGACAGGAAUGGCCAGUAUCGAAAUUCCUCAGGGGAAGGUGUGUUAUAAUUCACAGUACAAACUGAACUGCAGCACAGAGGAAACCAUGGAGACGUGCACAUGGAUGAUUGCUUAUCCUAACCAGUACCCACAGAUAAUUGGGGUAGGGUCAGAAGUGGAACUACUGCCUUGUUCAAACCAAUCAUCAAUCAACCUUCUGAACAUAAAAGGGAAUUGGGCAGGUGAAUGUCUAAAUCCUUGUCAUUUUUACCAAAGAACUUACAAUGAGAACGAGACGCUAAAACAAAGCAUUGUUGUCUACAACAAUUUUUCAUGUUUUUGAAAGCACACCUACGUAUAUUAUAUCGGAAUAUUGGAAGAUCCAGUUGCAAACUGAGCAUAAGUCAGUUUUACACACCGUUAGAUAAAUGCACACAAGAUUUGGAUUAGUUCUUGCAAAAACAGCAUUAAAGUACCUCCAAAAUGUCAUUCCAUAUAAUUACAGAUAAUAUACGUAGGAUAAAAAAAAAAUAUAUAUAUAUAUAUAUA
ensembl:lncRNA